rnacentral:rRNA from 1 species
UACGGAGGAUGCGGGCGUUAUCCGGAUUUAUUGGGUUUAAAGGGUGCGUAGGUGGGAUGCCAAGUCAGCGGUAAAAAUGCGGUGCUCAACGCCGUCGAGCCGUUGAAACUGGCGUUCUUGAGUGGGCGAGAAGUAUGCGGAAUGCGUGGUGUAGCGGUGAAAUGCAUAGAUAUCACGCAGAACUCCGAUUGCGAAGGCAGCAUACCGGCGCCCUACUGACGCUGAGGCACGAAAGCGUGGGUAUCGAACAGG